rnacentral:rRNA from 1 species
UACGGGAGGCAGCAGUAGGGAAUCUUCGGCAAUGGACGAAAGUCUGACCGAGCAACGCCGCGUGAGUGAAGAAGGUUUUCGGAUCGUAAAACUCUGUUGUUAGAGAAGAACAAGGAUGAGAAUAAAAUGUUCAUCCCUUGACGGUAUCUAACC